CACACAGGCUGGGGCCUACUUACUAAGAUGGCCAUUGCUCAGAGGUGAUCACCAACACAUGCCCAUGCAACAAGGUUAUCCGCACAGUGUUUUUACCCUUUGCCGGUUUACAUCCAUGGUAGUUCCUCGGCAUGUGCAAGCUGCUGAUGUCUGGGGGGAGAUCCCGGAAUCCUGCUCUGGUCGCUGAAUUCGGCUGGUACUGUGAGAAAUGUGUAUUGGAUCGGAG